UAAAAAUACAGUGAUGAUCAAUACCAAUCAUUUAUAGUUAAUACUGUGAAGUGUGUAAGAGAGUGUGUAUGGUUGCAGAGGUGCUCCCAAAGCAGAGAGGAAAGCCUUGAGGGAAAUGAUAGGGGCUGGUGUUGGGAGGGCAAGCAUGUGUGUGGGUCUGGGGGAUGAAAACAUGUGAGAAGAAAGAAUGUGUUACAGUGUGUGUGUGUGUGUGUGUGUGUGUGUGUGUGUGUGUGUGUGUGUGUGUGGUGUGUGUGUGUGUGUGUGUGUGUGUGUGUGUGUGUGUGUGUGUGUGUGACUGGAGUGAGGAGUAGGAUAAAAUUUACAGAGGAAGCUAAAAGACAUUUUGCAUUGGGAGUAAAUAAUCUGUGUGUGCUUCUUAUAGUGUUCAAAUUGUAGUUUUUGGUGUUCAUCUGAAAUGACAAUCAGGAGGAACAGUUGAAGAUUUUUGAAAUCUUAAGUGAUAAAUAAUGAAGAAUUCACUCCAAAGAAAAAGAACCUCCAGCUCAACUAUAACUGAAGCCAACAUACUUUCACAUGCUGCUCAAAUCAAUCCCAGGCCAGUGUGUUUGUCUCAGAUGAGCAGUGUUUUCUCCAGUGUGCCACCACUUUUUGGAACAGCACAAGCUUUCCUGUUGAGACUAGCCCAACUUGAAGCUCAGCUAGUUUUGAACCUGAUUAGUAAUGUUGCAUCUGGAAAUAAUAGAGGUUAUGGGAACCCUUUUGUUCCUUUAAAUCCCUUACAGCCUGUUGGCAUUCAAAGAUCCUCAUUUUUGAGCAUGUACCAGUGCCCAGGGGGGGUUAAAAUCAUGGAUUCCACACCUCACAUGGUUAGUCAUCCUGCAACAACAGUGGCAGAAAUUAAUUCAGUCUUUGCCAAUAAAGAGAGUGGUGCACUUGUGGCAAAAGAGAUUAUUCAGGAAAAACACUAGGUCCCAUCAUGAAUAAUACAACAUCUGAGGAAGCUCUUUUUACAUCCAGUCCCAACCCUCUAGGCAAACAUUUUGCCUUAAAACCACAUGUGGACUGUUCCCAAUACCAGUCGGUGACAGCCAAAGCAAUGAUACCCCCUGAUAGACCACAGAUUGAAGAAGCAGAGCCAAAGCAACAAACAAUGCUGCAGUAUCCAACAGAAAGUCUGAUCAAAGCUUUAACCAGCCUUGGCCUUUCUCUUGAGGAUCUAGAAUUACUCAGUCACUGCCCAGACAACCAGUUAACAACAGAGAAUCUCCCCUUCAUUAUACAAGACAUUCAACAGCGCAAAGGAACAAAUUACAUAAAAUAUGGCCAUGCUAGACAGAUCUCAUCUGAUCCAGUGGAAUCAUCCAGAGAGUCAUCAUAUACUCACGGGGAACAGAGGAAUCUGAGGAUUAUAAAUGGUGAAUGGCAAGAAUCCCAUUCCCAGAGAUCUCUCAGCCCUGAAAGAUGUCGCCCAUCUAAAGUCAUUAAUAAACACUUCUCGACCCAAUCUAGAACACUAAGAACAAGCCAUUCAUCAGGAAGAGGAUCAAAUUCCUUCCUAAAGAGGCUGCAACAUGGGCCUGCUGAGGACACCGGCUGGAGGCCUGGUUCAGUCUAUUUCCCCCCUCGAUCAAAACGCAGCAGAAGAUCCAACACUUACAACACCAUAACAAAAGGUCAUCAGCAGUCUUCAUUUCCAGUCAAAUCUGCAAAAUCAGAAGUAACCACUGAAUCCAUCAACAUUCAGAUGCCAGUAACUAAGACAACUGCAAAAACAUCAGCACAAACUAAGGGUGUGAUUCGUGUGUCUGGAAUCCCUCUUCAUUACUCUCAGAGUGAACUCAUCAAAAUGGCAUCGCCGUUUGGUCAAUCUGUUGAGGUUUUAAUGGCAACUGAGGUUUACACAACAACCUGUCUAGAAUGGAAGAAGGCUUUACUGAUGUUUCCAACUGAAUUCUCGGCCGAGGAGAUGGUGAAAGUUUACUCUGCUAUCCCAGUUCACAUGAGACAGCAAAGUUUGGAACUGGUGUCCCAAACUGUUGACUUUAGUUCACCUGUGUCAGUGUUUCAUGCUUUUGUGGGGUCAUCAUUGUCAAAUGGGCUGCUGACACCUUUGGACCAUUUGCUGGUUGUAUGUAAUGUUCCCAAUCAGCCCAGUGCUGCUACAGGAGUGCUACGGCUGCUAAAGCCUUUUGGACAAGUUUUCAGAGCUCUUGUACUUCAUGGAAACAAGGUGGAUGUUGAUCAGUGCCUUGGGAACAAUAGCAGCAUGCAGAUGGUUUUAGAGAUGGAAUCCGCUUCUGUUGCUUUAUCUGUAUAUGAGUGGUCUCAAAAAAUUCCUUGUGUUUAUCACAACCAUCAUCUGUCUUUCCUCAGAGGAUGCCAUGUACAGAAAAACACAUCUGAGGUCCAUUCAGCCUAAUAUCCUCACAGUUUUAUCCCCUUAAAUAUUGUAUAUUUUCAUUAUCUUUGUAAUAAAAUACAAUGAAACUAGGUCAUAAGAAGUAUUAUUGUUUGUCUUUCUCCUUUUAUAAAAUUAUAUAUUUAUUGAGCAGCAAAAGUUAACGAUUAAAAAUAAUAAAUAUAAACUACAAUCACUACAAUACUCUUGGUAAUGGAAAUCCUGAAAAUAUCAGGGAAUUUAAAAGUCUGGAAUAUUUAGUUAGGCUAUACCAAAGUCCCUUUAAGCUAUUUUAUAUUAUAUUUUAAGAUAAGGUAUUCUAUAGUCUUUGGCUAUACUUAAAUCGAGUAAUAACAAUUAACUUGAAAAGUCAUGGAAAGGUCAUUUGGAAUGCAUGGGUCAAAACUGAUUCAAUUUCAGCUCAACAGAUGUUCUGAAAAUUAUAUAUUGUACAUUAAAUUAUAUAACAUGGUUGUGAUUUUAAUUGUUAGAUACUGCUAAAAAGGUCAAGCUCACUGAGGUGACAAACCCAAGUCAUAUUUUAAGAGAGUUAAUUCAUUGGAAAGCUUACUCAUUCAGCUUUUAGGUGAUUUAAGUUAUAAAUCUCAGUUUAAAAAAAUUACGCUUAUGACUGGUUUUGUGGUCCUGGGUUACAUUUACUCAUCCUAGCUGUUCCAAACCUGUUGAAAACGAAAGAAAAUAUAUUGUUUGACUGGUUAUUUUCGAUUACACGUAAAGAACAGAGCAAGCAAUCUAACAUCAAAAGUAAUCGUUCCCUGACCGGGAAUCGAACCCGGGCCGCGGCGGUGAGAGCGCCGAAUCCUAACCACUAGACCACCAGGGAGCGCUGAGCUAAUACAGAUGAAUAUAGCAGUAGACAAAUCACGACUCAAAAUUCAAAAUUACAUUAAUGUUGCUAAUUUAACCAUGCAACCUGUGACGUAGCAUUUUGCUGUUUAUCAUGUAAUCAUACUUUUUUGUUUCACAUAUUGUAAUUAGUAGUCAAUAUAUAGUAGAUCUACAGCUUGUGGAGUAAGUUAUCCAGCAGGGAGUCCUUGUUCUUUACCUAAAAUGCUGUAAAUGAGUGUCUUUGUACUCUUUUUUUUUUUAACCACUUAGGUUGUUCUAUAUUAAACAUUUGAGUGUGUUAUAUUAGAUCCAAAUCUGGGUUAAUGACACCUCAUGAAGCUUUAUGCAAACUAUGUCAGCGCAUCUGUCCAAAUAAAACAAGCAUGUUCUUACAUUUGAUUUUUUGUCAGCGCUUGUGCAUUGAUGCUCUAAUUUUCCUAUCCAAGCCACCUUCAAGUACAGGCAAAGAGAUGUGUUUUGGCGUAAAACCAAGUAUUUUUCUACUGAAUUUGCAUGCAGUAAAUCCCUCCCGAAUGUACCUUUGAAAAAAAAAACAGAAAUCAUAUAUUAAAUCAUGUAUUAAUAAUUACUAAUAUAUGUAAUAAUACGCACUAAUAUGUGUUUUUUUAAAAGGAGAGAACAAGAAACUGACCAAUUACGAAUAUAGUAUAUAUAUAUAUAUAUAUAUAUAUAUCCUGAAUGAAUGCGAAUGGAUCUAGCUUUCUAAAAUUACGCGAAAGAGGUAAAUGCAUGUUUGAAUUCACUUUAAGAGCAUGCUACAGUUUCCUGGCCAUUUUGCAAUCAUCUUUUGAAAUACCGUGAUGACCCUCAGGAGGCGCCAGCGACAUGUUUGUUUGAAAGGCCCACAUGAGCGCUCUGACGUAGGGUUAAAAUCUAGCCAGGUAACGGUGUCGCUGCAAACAGGAAAAUUACCUCUUUUAGUCGAUUUAUUUGGCGAUAGAUUAGAGGGACAGAAGCGUUACAAUGCCGGGUAAGUCCUCUUAACAGCCCACGUCUCCUAAAGGUGUCAUGUUUAAUCUUUUGACUUUGUAAGUGCAGUGUGCUGGUCUCACUCUUUGUUUUGUAAAAUGGUAGCCAUCGCUGAAUGCGUAAAGUAGCGACACAGAAACAAAUCGACACGUUUAGCGUGCAAUAUAAAGCAUAUUACGCCGUUGUAGGCUCACUUGGCAGAGUUCGCGUAAAGCGCAGUGUAGAUGGAGGCCUAGUGAGAUGUGUGGAUAACUCACUCACUCACUCACUCACUCACGCAUUCACCAUGCUCCCUCAUUUACUUCACGAAAUCCUGUAAAACCUAACUAUUUCAAACAACUGGCGUCCGUGUUUGCUUCAGGAGCAUUCAAAUAACAUUUAAACGUUGCUCGGCAAGGCCAGGCAACAUUUUUUCACGUGGACUGCUGUUGCUGUUGCGGCUCGAGCUAACACGCAUAGCUUCGCAAUACACGUUCACAAACGUAAAGUUAGAUCAAGUGUUUUAUUCGAACGUAGGGCACAUCUUGCAGCAAAAAAAAUUGUCUUUUUGAUGGGAGACUUCUUAAAACGGUUUAUACUAUAGAUAGUUUUCUCUGGAGCCUUAGCCAGGCCUCAUGUUACAAUGAAUCAAAUCCAUGUGGAGAAAGAUGGUGUCGACUGACCUCCUCUUUGUCUCGUUUAUGCAACACACCGAUAGUUAGUAACAGGUAGUUAUAUAAUGUUCUUUAAACCAUGCGUGUUACUCACUGUGUCGGGUCGCGGGUAUUAGAAGAGCUUAAUAAACAUUUAUUGCGCCUUCGUUUUGUAAUAUCGAACGUCUAAUUUGCUGGCAAGUUUUGUAUUUAUGCGCGAACACACUCUUAAACACAGAGUGGCUCAUCAUUCUUACUGUGACAACACUGACUUAAAUUUGUGUAUGUUCUAUGGCUUUUAAAUUUGAAUUGUUCAUGUGCACAUUAAUGAGUGAAGUUUUACUGAUGUGUAUAAUCUAAACUAAUUGUAUCCAGUGCCCCAUAAAUAUUUAUGUUCGUUGGUUUUAGUUUUAUGUGUGUGUUUGAGGUACUAUGUACUGAGAAUGGGAUCAGUAUUAGUAUUAAUA
rnacentral:lncRNA from 1 species